UGGGGAAUCUUGUGCAAUGGGGGCAACCCUGACACAGCGACGCCGCGUGUGUGAAGAAGGCCUUCGGGUUGUAAAGCACUGUCAGGAGGGAAGAAACCCGGCGAGUCCGGCGUGACGGUACCUCCACAGGAAGCACCGGCCAACUCCGUGCCAGCAGCCGCGGUAAUACGGAGGGUGCAAGCGUUGUUCGGAAUCAUUGGGCGUAAAGCGUAGGUAGGCGGCCAGGCAAGUCUGAUGGGAAAGCCCAGGGCUUAACUCGGGAGGCGCAUUGGAAACUGUUUGGCUUGAGUCCGGGAAGGGCCAGUGGAAUUCGUGGUGUAGGGGUGAAAUCCGUAGAUAUCACGAAGAACACCGGCGGCGAAAGCGACUGGCUGGACCGGAACUGACGCUCAGCUACGAAAGCGUAGGUAGCGAACA
rnacentral:rRNA from 1 species